ACACACACACUCACUCACUCUCUCUCACUCUCCCCCCUCUCUCUGUUUGUCCCUCUUUCAAUUUGUUUUGCCUAUUUCUCUUUGCAUUCUUUCUUUUCUUCAAUAUGGCAUCUUCAGGUUUUGACCAGUUAUGCCAGGAAGCUGCAACUAUUUCAAAGCAUUUUGACAUGAAAGCUGACAAUGCUGAACUUGGAGCAGCUACCAGAGAGGCUGAAGAAAUUCUACAAAUGUUCAAUCCUCCACUGCUGAAAAAGAUGACCAAACGAGCGAUUUCCUGGACUCAACAGACACAGUGAACUUUGCACUGCAUUUCAAAGCCAGCUCCUCAGCCGCAACACCGAGAACCAGAGUUGAGGUCAAUGUACUGCUGAGAAAAGUGCAAGAUCUGUUUAACCAAAAUUAUAAGGAUGCCGGAGGUACUGGAAGGCUCCCCUGGUAAAUCAAGGCAUGACAGUUAAAGUUGCAGGACUGCCCAACAGCCUUACUUUCAAAAAGCCAUCCUAUUGUGGAAGGAAGCAGUUGGAGGCCAUUUUGCAAGCGGCUGAGGAGAUUUCAUUUGAAAUCAAUGCAGCACAAUGCAACUCCACUGACAAAGCAGAAGGAAUG